rnacentral:tRNA from 2 species
GUCUCAAAUUGGAGGGCGGGUGCUUUGGGAGCACUAGGUCGCAGGUUCGAAUCCUGUCGCCC